ACGUAGGGGGCGAGCGUUGUCCGGAAUUACUGGGCGUAAAGGGUGCGUAGGCGGAUUUGCAAGUCAGACGUGAAAACCAUCGGCUUAACCGGUAGCCUGCGUUUGAAACUGUGAGUCUUGAGUGGUGAAGAGGUAAGCGGAAUUCCUAGUGUAGCGGUGAAAUGCGUAGAUAUUAGGAGGAACACCAGUGGCGAAGGCGGCUUACUGGGCAAUAACUGACGCUGAGGCACGAAAGCAUGGGGAGCAAACAG
rnacentral:rRNA from 1 species